GACGAACGCUGGCGGCGUGCUUAACACAUGCAAGUCGAGCGGUAAGGCCCUUUCGGGGGUACGACGAGCGGCGAACGGGUGAGUAACACGUGGGUGACCUGCCCUUAGCUCUGGGAUAAGCCUGGGAAACUGGGUCGUAAUACCGGAUAUGACUCCAUGACGCAUGUUGUGGGGUGGAAAGCCUUGUGCGGCUAGGGAUGGGCCCGCGGCCUAUCAGCUUGUUGGUGGGGUGAUGGCCUACCAAGGCGACGACGGGUAGCCGGCCUGAGAGGGCGACCGGCCACACUGGGACUGAGACACGGCCCAGACUCCUACGGGAGGCAGCAGUGGGGAAUCUUGCGCAAUGGGCGAAAGCCUGACGCAGCGACGCCGCGUGGGGAUGACGGCCUGUGUACU
rnacentral:rRNA from 1 species